rnacentral:lncRNA from 1 species
UAAUCCUUCACAAGUUUAAAGUAUGUCAAAGAGACUUUUUUUUAGAUGGGAUGUCACGAGACUUAAAAACAACACAUAAUUAGUUCAAGUUUUGAAAGAGUUGUGCUACUUCUCUCAAGCCAAAAUACCAUGUAAAAGCUGAUAAAGCUAAUUCACACAGUAUCUCGUCCGCACCUUUCCUCUUAAUUUAGCUAAGUCUAGGAAAUCACGCUUUGUCAAACAUCAGCACUUUGGUGAACUCUGCACUUAUUGAGGCUCAGUGUCUAUUGGAAAAAUUACUAUGAAAAUUUAAACCACACAAGGUUUAUGUGAUUGAUAUAAGAUUAUCAUUUAAUCAUAUUUUUUUCUCUCGUUUUCUUGGCUGCCAAAUGGAGCUUGACAGCAUAUGGAAUAAAUCUCACGUACAAUCAAACCAGAAAGUUGAACUUUCUAUCUGUUUGUGUGAAAAGACUUAAAAUUUGUAGGAUAGAAUCUGAAGAAAUUGUAAUUAUUAUAGAGCUAGAUAGAGGCUGCAAUAUUGUUAAAAUCAGACGGCCGUGGUGAUGCAUAUAUACUGUAGAAUCAAAAGAGAGACCUUAAAAUGACCACUCACCUUCAUUGGUGGUUUAGGAAAUAUUUAUUAGGACAGCUGCUUUCAUCAAUAGAAUGCUACCUAGAGCAAUUUGAAGAAAAGAAAACAAGUUGCAAGUAGGAUAAAGUUGCGAAAGUGACAUAUAGUUUCCAACUACAAUUGUUGCUACGAAACAAAAACCACCAGUCAUCCCCCACUAGUAAAAUAGGGUAUUGCUCCAUAGUGCACAUCUGAAAUUCUAUGAAGCUCUUGUAAAUUUGUCAUUGUCUUGGACAUACCUUCUUGGUAGUUUCCAAGGCUAUGCUAAAGUUAGGUUAAGCUGUCACACUUUCUAUUUCCAAAGAUGUCCAAAAACAAUAUAUUAAUUCAUUUGCAUGAUGGGUUUUUCUCAAAGCACUCAAGUACUGAAAUGUAAUUUCCCGAUUACAAUUACAUAGCUAUCUUCCUCACUUUUUCUCUCUCUUUACUUUGAACCUCACAUUCUGUGUGAACUAUAUAUGUGAGGUUCCUUAACAAAGGUCAUUCCCAUACACACGCACACACUGCACCAAUUUUUUAUUUUUGAGUUCUGAAUGGGAGCUAGACUUACUACUUUUGAGAACAGGUCUGGUGUGGUGAUGGAAAUCAGAGUUUUCGUUCCACCAGCUCGGCCUGACCGGUAUCGAAAGAUCAUUAGUAUCAAACCAGGUGAAACCAAGAAAGUAGAGACCAUAACUUUAUGCUGUGAGGACAGAAAUCCUGAAAACCCUACAUUCUUAAUGGUUUUCAUGGAUGGUACUUACACUGGGGUUUCUUUACUGAAGUUCCACGUGGUGAAUUACGCAAAAAUUGUUGGCUAUCUUGAUGAAAAUGGUCUUGUCGUCCUGAAGGGCGUCAGACAUAGAUUGCCUGGUUUCUGCAGACUCAAGUUCUCUCUCUCUCUCUCUCUUCUCUCUCUCUCUCUUCUCUCUCUCUCACACCCACCCACACCCACACCCCACCCACACCCACACGCACCCCACAACACAGCACAAUUCUCAAAUCCGAUUUUGUAUGUACAUGUAGGUUUCGUUGAGAUUUCAAUAUUUUUUGUGUGUGAUAUCUUGUGAAGUUUAUACAGUGACGGUCCAUGUGACUGUAAUAUUAUUCACGGAAAAUACUUUGCUUGAAAUCAACUAAGAGUAGUUAAUGGGAUCCUAUUACUAGAACUCUAUUUCCUCAUAAUCUAAAUAUCUUGACAUAAUCAUAUGAAGGGUUUUUUAGAACUUCACAAGUUAGUAAUCAAUGAAGUCAAGCAGGCGAAUAUGAGACUUAGAAUCACGUCUCCUUAAUACUCCUGUGAUCCAAAUAUAGCCCUGGAUUGUAAAUGAGCGAUCAAAGUAGAUUUUGUUUUUUGAGUCCUAAAUUAUAUUGCUACCAAAACUGGGUUCGAGCUAACAUAUUUAUACCAGUUUAGGUAGUAUUGAACCAUUUUUCUCUAGUUUUAAUAUUGUGACUUGACUUUGUUCAUGCUUAAGUGGCUGUGGCUCGGUACUGUGGAUGAAAUACAGAGGAUAUGGCGAGGAGAAAUCUACCAAUGAUCAUCAGCGUGGUUUGGUACUGCUUUUCUCUUCUUUUUCUCGAUUGGAUCUUCUUUCUAACUUAAAUUUCUUGAUGUCACAAUCAUCAAUUAUCGUUCACCAUUUAGGAUCAAGUUUAUGGCACACGCACACUCAAGUUCGGCCAUUUUCAUCUUACGGAGAAAUUGCUUUCUACUUCUCAUGUGAUUGGCUGUUAUGAACGCUGAGGGGGAUGGACUGUUAAGUAAACACUUAGACAUCUAAAUAAAAACUACUCAUGGUGCUAGUAAUCGAUAUUCGCCCCUUCUGUCAUUGAAGAAAGAAUGUAUUUGAUCUGUAUAGUUUGUCACCAGAACUCUUUCGUAGGAACUUGUUUUAAAUCUUGAUGUUGUAACUAUGUUUUUGCCUAGUUACUUCUACAAUUUGGAUGUUUUGGAAUUUCCUAGAUCCGGGGUAAGCGGGCGGGAAGGACCGCAAGUUUUGCAGGGAAAUCAAACGAAGUCAGAUUUUGGAGUGAAUACAUUUGGAGAUAAAAACGACGUAGUUUUGGUUGGGAUUUUUUUUACCCAAGAAUCAAAAUGAUGCGUUUUGGACUCCCUGUCGGGUUGCGGAGUUGCUCCCGCAAGAAAUCCCCUUGAAUCCUAGACUCAGCGAUUGAGACGAGACAGCGUCUGAGGUCAGGGGAAAUAAAUUAGGUUGAUGUUAUUUGAAAUUUAGGAAAACUGGCGGAGAUUGACGGAAAAAAAUUUUUAAGGAAUGGAGAUUUGGUUGGAAAAAUUUUUGAAUUGAAAAUAAGAUUUUGAAAAAAAAAAAAAAAAUUCCUCCAUUUUGAGACUUGGGUGAAAUUACUCUCUAAAGAAUGAUUAUACAACUCUCCCCUUUUCCUUUGUUGGAACUUUGGGGAAGAGUGGAAAAUGACUAGAAAUUGUAAUUUUUCCUCUUCCUUUAUUUGUUUCUUUUAGUUUUAGGAGGGGACAGGAAAUUAAAAAACAAUUAGAACUUAUUAAAUUCUUAUUUUGAAAUCUUCCUUUUUUAUUUUUUUGUUCUUACUCUCUUUGUAUUUAAGUGGUUUCAAAUUUUCUUUCAUCUCUUCUAUAACCAAAUAAGGAGAAAUGAUUGUACUUUCUCAUUUUUAUUUUAUUUUCUUGCAAAACCCAAACAUCAAGAAAUUGUUUUCCUAAAAUAUUUUCCCUUCAAUCGAUUCUCUACUUUCUGUUCUUUGUGAUCCACGUGAAGUUCCAAACAAAGCCUUAAUUUGUUAAGUGGAAUUAAUUUAAAUUUAUAACAUAUAUAAAGUAUAUUGUUCUAGUUGCGAGUAGGACAGAAAGUUGCGAAGUGACUAUAGUUUAUAACUACAAUUGUUUGCUACCAAACAAAAACCACCAGUUCAUCCCCCACCAGUAAAAAUAGCGGUAUUGCUCCAUAGUGCACACUGACAUUCUAUGAAACUCUUGUAAAUUUGUCAUUGUCUUGGACAACCUCUUGGUAGUUUCCAAGGCGAGACUUAAGCUAGGUUAAGCGUCACACUUUCUAUUUCCAAAGAUGUCCCCAAAAACAAUAAUAAUUCAUUGCAUGGAUGGGUUUUCCAAACACCUCAAGUACUGAAAUGUAUUCCCGAUUACAAUUACAUAGCUAUCUUCCUCACUUUUUCUCUAUCUGUUACUUUGAAACCUCAAUUCUGAUAGAACUAUAUAUGUGAGGUCCUUAACCAAAGGUCAUUCCCACACACGCACCACUUGCACCAAUUUUAUUUUGAGUUCUGAAUGGGAGCUAGACUUACUACUUUUGAGAAACAGGUCUGGUGUGGAGAUGGAAAUUAGGUUUUCGUUCCACCAACUCGACCUGACCAGUAUUGAGAUCAUUUAGUAUCAAACAGGUGAAAACCAGAAAGUAGAGGACUAACUAAACUUUAUGCGUGAGGCCUAGAAAUCCUGAAAACUACAUGCUUAAUGGUUUUCAUGAUGAGUACUACACGGGGUUCUUUAUGAAGUUCCACGUGGUUGAAGAAUUACGCAAAAAUAUAUGGCUAUCUUGAUGCAAAUGGUCUGUCGUCCUGAAGGGCGGUUAGACAUAUAUGCCUGGUGUCUGCGGGCUCACGUCCUCGCACCCCACCCACACCCCAAACACAUCACAAUUCUCAAAUCCGAUUUGUAUGUACAUGGAAGUUUUUGUUGAGUAUUUUUGUUACGGAUUUUAUGCUCGAAGACAUUGCUUUGUGUAAUAAUUUUUAAGUUAUUUAUUAUUAAAUUAGUUAAAACUCAUGUUUAUUAUAAGUGCUUUUAUGAUAUUAUUCCUGAUAUAAAUAAAAGACACGUGCAUUUAAUAUUUUAGGUUUUGAUUCACAAAAGAGUGUGAAUGAAAUUUUUGCUGGGUACAAUAAACUCAGAUGAGUUAGAUAGUAACAUUAACGUAUAUGCGUUGAAUAUUAAUAUGAUGGAAUUCACGUUCUAAUAUAGAUAUUGAUAAUACUCCUGGGGUGGGGGGGGGGAAAAACAAGAAUACUUAUAAGGUUUGAUUAUGUCAAACUCUGCAAGGUGUGAAUUAUAAUCCGACAUAUCAAAUAUGUCAAGUGAAGGUCUAAAGGGAAUAAAUAUCUCUAUAAAUUUAAUUAUCAGUAAUUUAAUUUAAUAAAACAGGAUAUGUGAUCUUAACGCGGAGAUAAAAAGGUAUUAAUAAAAAUGAUACUCGAAAAUAUAAUUACUGGUUAUAAAAAGAGUGCAAUUAUAACUUAUUUAGUGGGGAUUAAUAAUAAUUUACAUAAAUAGGGAUUAAUCCUUGUUUGAUUAGGAAUCACUUAUUUAUGUAGGAAGUCUAGUCAGACUUAUUCCUUCGGUCUAUGUUGCCUUUAUAUAUACGCACUGUAUUAACAGUUAGGGUUACGAUAUAUUCUGAGAUUCAUAUUUUGGUGAGAGCGUAGAAUUCUAGCAGCCGCGAGCCCACUAUCUCUGGUGUAGGGCGAGGCUGAUACCUGUUGCUGUUCGGAAUCAACGGGGGUAUGUUCUGAUCAUGUAAA